AGUUUUGACUGUUACUUCUACUUCGACCCGAGACACCACAGUGACACCAACUACCAGUUUGACCUCUCCUUUGACCCCCAGCACGGCAGUGAAUCCUACAUCAGGAGGUCAAAGCUCCACAGAAAGCGUUCUGGGUAAGCAUCCAUCUCUAGCUGACUACCUGUCUUUU